UAAGACGAGGGAUCCUAGCGUUGUUCGGAAUUAUUGGGCGUAAAGCGGAUGUAGGUGGCUUUGUAAGUCAGAUGUGAAAGCCCAGGGCUCAACCCUGGAAGUGCAUUUGAUACUGCGAAGCUUGAGUGUCGGAGAGGUUACUAGAAUUGUUGGUGUAGUGGUGAAAUACGUAGAUAUCAACAGGAAUACCGGAGGCGAAGGCGGGUAACUGGCCGAACACUGACACUGAGAUCCGAAAGCGUGGGGAUCAAACAGGAUUAGAUACCCUGGUAGUCCACGCCGUAAACGAUGGAUACUUGUUGUUGGAGGUAUUGACCCCUUCAGUGACGAAGCUAACGCGUUAAGUAUCCCGCCUGGGGAGUACGGUCGCAAGAUUAAAACUCAAAGAAAUUGACGGGGCCCCGCACAAGCGGUGGAGCAUGUGUUAAUCCGAUGCACGCG
rnacentral:rRNA from 1 species